rnacentral:tRNA from 1 species
GGUAUUAUUAUUAUAAGUAAAGUAUUUUAAUUUUAUUUAAAUGGACGUGGGUUCGAGUCCCACCAGCUCCU